AUUGAACGCUGGCGGCAUGCUUUACACAUGCAAGUCGAACGGCAGCACGGACUUCGGUCUGGUGGCGAGUGGCGAACGGGUGAGUAAUACAUCGGAACGUGCCCAGUUGUGGGGGAUAACUACUCGAAAGAGUAGCUAAUACCGCAUGAGAACUGAGAGUGAAAGCAGGGGAUCGUAAGACCUUGCGCAACUGGAGGGGCCGAUGGCAGAUUAGGUAGUGGGUGGGAUAAAAGCUUACCAAGCCGACGAUCUGUAGCUGGUCUGAGAGGACGACCAGCCACACUGGGACUGAGACACGGCCCAGACUCCUACGGGAGGCAGCAGUGGGGAAUUUUGGACAAUGGGCGAAAGCCUGAUCCAGCAAUGCCGCGUGCAGGAUGAAGGCCUUCGGGUUGUAAACUGCUUUUGUACGGAACGAAAAGCUUCGGGCUAAUACCCUGGAGUCAUGACGGUACCGUAAGAAUAAGCACCGGCUAACUACGUGCCAGCCGCCGCAGUAACAC
rnacentral:rRNA from 1 species